ACGCUGGCGGCGUGGAUUAGGCAUGCAAGUCGAACGGUAUCAUCCUUUCGGGGGUGAGAGAGUGGCGAACUGGUGAGUAACACGUAGGUUAUCUACCCUCAAGACGGGGACAACCCAGGGAAACUUGGGCUAAUACCGGAUGUGAGCAACUUUUAGUUGUUUGAAAGGUGGCGUAAGCUGUCGCUUGGGGAUGAGCCUGCGUCCUAUUAGUUAGUUGGUGAGGUAACGGCUCACCUAGGCAAUGAUAGGUAGGCGGCCUUAACGGGUGGUCGCCCACACUGGGAUUGAGAUACGGCCCAGACUCCUACGGGAGGCAGCAGUCGAGAAUAGUCUACAAUGGUCGGAAGACUGAUAGUGCGACGCCGCGUGAACGAUGAAUCCCUUCGGGGUGUAAAGUUCUUUUAUAUGUGAGCAGUGCUUCUUAUAUUAACAGUAUGGGGAGAGAGAUAUUAGCAUAUGAAUAAGCAACGGCUAACUCCGUG
rnacentral:rRNA from 1 species